GUGGGGAAUCUUCCGCAAUGGGCGCAAGCCUGACGGAGCAACGCCGCGUGGGUGAGGAAGUUUUUCGGAACGUAAAGCCCUGUUGUACCCGACGAAUGUAUAUGCUAUGAACAACGGGAUAUAAUGACGGUAGGGUACGAGGAAGCCACGGCUAACUACGUGCCAGCAGCCGCGGUAAUACGUAGGUGGCAAGCGUUGUCCGGAAUUAUUGGGCGUAAAGCGCAUGUAGGCGGUGCCUUAAGUCUGUCGUGAAACUGCGGGGCUUACCCCCGUAUGGCGAUGGAAACUGUGGCACUUGAGUGCAGGAGAGGAAAGGGGAACUCCCAGUGUAGCGGUGAAAUGCGUAGAUAUUGGGAAGAACACCGGUGGCGAAGGCGCCUUUCUGGACUGUGUCUGACGCUGAGAUGCGAAAGCCAGGGUAGCGAACGGGAUUAGAAACCCUAGUAGUCC
rnacentral:rRNA from 1 species